UAAUCUCAGCUACUCAGGAAGCUGUAGAUGAAUCAAUAAACAACUUAAGAGCUGGGAUUGAAAUGCAUGGCUGAACUAGACAAGAUUUAACAUGUAAAUGCAAAAAUGGAUUGCAAACAACUGAAUAAAGGCAUAAUUGUAUAAUUAGUUUAAAAAUUACUCAUUUAGGAUUUAAAAUACAAAAUCAUGGGCAAAACUUCAAGUUUGCGAUGGAAUAAUAAUAUGAGAAUUAAAAAUAAUAAUAUCUUUAAGGACUGCAAUAUUACAAGCAGAGUAACUUUUGUUAAUUCUAUACAGCUCAAACAAAGCCAAAAAAUAAUAUAAGCAGAAAUGCACGUGUAUUUAAUCAAGUGCAAUCUAUGUAAACAUAAUUAUUUCAUGUAGUCUACCAUAGUCACUGGGAUUCUAAUAAGAGCUAAGUGCAAUUUUUUUUUUGCCUCUUUUAAACUUCUAUUUGUUUGAGGUCUAGUUUACAUACAGUAAAAUUCACCCUUUGUUGUUUAGUUCAGUGAGAUUUAGAACAAUUGUUUAGGUUUCUCUCUUUCUUUAACAAUAAAACAUUUUUAUCUAUAAUCACUGUGAUUAAUAAUAGCAUUCAGAAAAUUUAACUUCAAUAUAUUUAAAUUUUCAUUUACUAUGCAUUUGUAGAAUUUAAGGACACACAUAGUAAAAUGCUAUUUGUUAAAAAAAAGAAAUAAUUUUAAUCACUGGUAUUUUCUUAAUACACAUUAAAUGUUCAUUGAUUGGAAAAACAUUUAUCAGAUUAUGUUUUAAAAUAGGAUGUGAAUAUAUAUAUAUAUUCACAUAUAUAUAUGUGUGAGAGAGAGAGAGAGAGAGAGAGAGAGAGAGUACAAGACUGAAUAAAACAGGAAACAUAAAGGGCAAAAGGAAAAAUUCCAAGUUAAUAGCAGUUUCAUCACAAAGGUGGGGUAGUGACCCAGAAGGCCUUAACCUUCUUCUCUCAGCUCAACUUUGGACUAUCUCUAGUCCUCUGAACUCCCUUUUCUUGGAGCAAUGUCUUUAGAAAACUGAACUGCAAUUUUUUUCUCUGCCCCUUUGAGAUGUAUAUCUUCUCCCAGCCUCUGGCCAGUUUUACAACCCAGGAAUGUCUUUAUGACCUGGGAGUCAUCCCUUUGAAAUCUAAACAGGGAAGAACAUAGCCCACAUAUUUCCCAGUUUUUGUGGAGCACAGGAGCCUAUAAAGGACAAUUAGCAAAUGCCCAUGGCUUAAUCACCUUGAUGAAAGUCCCUCCUAAAGUGCUACGUACUUUCCCCCUAGCUCACCCCAGCACUUAGAAACUCUCCUACUUUUUGUUCAGUAGAAUUGAGCUCAAUCAUUCUCCCUUGGUGCAAUAGUUUUUAGUAAAGUCUUUCUUUCCUGUAUAACUUCUCUGGUGCAGUUUUUCUUUGAAGCAAAUGAGUCAUUUUUUUCAUGUUUCUAUAUGUUUUUCUGCACUUUCCAAAUUUUAUUCAACAAGAAAUUGUUAU
rnacentral:lncRNA from 10 species